rnacentral:lncRNA from 1 species
GCAUCGGCCGUAUCCCCACCCACUUGUUUUGGUCCAAGGGCAGAAAUGAACAUCCUGGAAACCAAUCAGUACUUGCGCUCUGAACUGGAAAAGUGCAAACAGAACUUCCGAGACCUCACAGAGAAAUUCCUGACAUCCAAAGCAACUGCCUACUCCCUGGCCAAUCACCUGCAGAAAUACAAGUGUGAAGAGUGCAAAGACCUUACAGAAUCUGUGCUGCAGGAGGAGCUGCAGUUUCAGGAGAGGGAGCUGGCCGAAUUGCCGAGACCAGCUACAAGGCUCUGAUACAUGAUCCCUUAAUUCAGGCUCAGGCUGAAGAACUGACCCACUUACUACAGAAGAUACAGGAAGGAAGAGGUGUCUACUAGCUUUUCACCCAGCAUGUGAAGAACACAGUCAAGUCUUUUGAGGGCCUUCUCAGGAACACUGGCAUUGCCUGCUACCAGAGACAGAGAUUCUGUGAGCAAAUGGUACAAGGAAUCCAGCUGACAGAGGUUCUUGUCAGAAAACUUGCCACAGAAGAUGAGAUCCAGAGCCAGUGGCAGCACCUGAAGGAAACCCUUUUCAUCAACAACUGCCUGCCAGGAAUGCUGGAAUGUCAUCUCAGCAGCUUUGACGAACAAAAUGGUAGGAGAAGCCCAAGUUGGUCUGCUUCUGGCAAUAUGUAUUUUUCUAAAGGCAUGUCACUGGUGCAGAGUUUUAUAGAUUUCAAGCACUUUGACAUACUUUACUUCACUUAUUCAUUACAAAGGUCCCAGCUAGAGAGGUAGGG